UCCCCGUUCGUCUAAUUGGCAGGACACCGGAUUCUGGUUCCGGGAGUUGAGGUUCGAGUCCUUGACUGGGAG
rnacentral:tRNA from 2 species